AUUGAACGCUGGCGGCAGGCCUAACACAUGCAAGUCGAGCGGCAGCGGGAAAGUAGCUUGCUACUUUUGCCGGCGAGCGGCGGACGGGUGAGUAAUGCCUGGGGAUCUGCCCAGUCGAGGGGGAUAACUACUGGAAACGGUAGCUAAUACCGCAUACGCCCUACGGGGGAAAGCAGGGGACCUUCGGGCCUUGCGCGAUUGGAUGAACCCAGGUGGGAUUAGCUAGUUGGUGAGGUAAUGGCUCACCAAGGCGACGAUCCCUAGCUGGUCUGAGAGGAGGAUCAGCCACACUGGAACUGAGACACGGUCCAGACUCCUACGGGAGGCAGCAGUGGGGAAUAUUGCACAAUGGGGGAAACCCUGAUGCAGCCAUGCCGCGUGUGUGAAGAAGGCCUUCGGGUUGUAAAGCACUUUCAGCGAGGAGGAAAGGUUGAUGCCUAAUACGUAUCAACUGUGACGUUACUCGCAGAAGAAGCACCGGCUAACUCCGUGCCAGCCGCCGCCGUAAUAC
rnacentral:rRNA from 1 species